CCUACGGGUGGCAGCAGUGAGGAAUAUUGGUCAAUGGACGAGAGUCUGAACCAGCCAAGUAGCGUGAAGGAUGACUGCCCUAUGGGUUGUAAACUUCUUUUAUAUGGGAAUAAAAUGUUCCACGUGUGGGAUUUUGUAUGUACCAUAUGAAUAAGGAUCGGCUAACUCCGUGCCAGCAGCCGCGGUAAUACGGAGGAUCCGAGCGUUAUCCGGAUUUAUUGGGUUUAAAGGGAGCGUAGGUGGAUUGUUAAGUCAGUUGUGAAAGUUUGCGGCUCAACCGUAAAAUUGCAGUUGAAACUGGCAGUCUUGAGUACAGUAGAGGUGGGCUGAAUUCGUGGUGUAGCGGUGAAAUGCUUAGAUAUCACGAAGAACUCCGAUUGCGAAGGCAGUUCACUGGACUGCAACUGACACUGAGGCUCGAAAGUGUGGGUAUCAAACAGGAUUAGAUGCCCCUGUAGUC
rnacentral:rRNA from 1 species